rnacentral:rRNA from 1 species
GAUGAACGCUAGCGGGAGGCUUAACACAUGCAAGUCGAGCGGGAUUAGCAGCAAUGCUAUGAGAGCGGCGCACGGGUGCGUAGCGCGUAUGCAACCUGCCUUAUACAGGGGAAUAGCCCAUGGAAACGUGGAUUAAAGUCCCAUAGAAUCAAGAUAUCGCAUGGUAUUAUGAUUAAAACUGAGGUGGUAUAAGAUGGGCAUGCGUCUGAUUAGGUAGUUUGUGAGGUAACGGCUCGCCAAGCCGACGAUCAGUAGGGGUUCUGAGAGGAUUACCCCCCACACUGGUACUGAGACACGGACCAGACUCCUACGGGAGGCAGCAGUGAGGAAUAUUGGUCAAUGGCCGGAAGGCUGAACCAGCCAUCCCGCGUGCAGGAUGACGGCCCUAUGGGUUGUAAACUGCUUUUGUACCUGAAGAAUAGGCCCAACGAGUUGGGAUUUGCCGGUAAGGUAUGAAUAAGCAUCGGCUAACUCCCGUGCCAGCAGCCGCGGUAAUACGGGAGGAUGCAAGCGUU